rnacentral:lncRNA from 1 species
AUAGUAAUGCACCCUAACGGGGAUAAAAAACAUGAGUGACGUUUCAAUAUUAGGACAACUCAACUAGCUAAUAGGAUCGAAAAAUAAAUACGUCAAAUAUGGACUUCACUGCAUUUCUCAACCUUUUUUUCAAGGAAUGGAAAAAAUUAAUUAUAAUCCUAAUUCAUUAAAUCAUAUGUGCUUAUUAGGAAAUAAAUAUAAACAAGAAAUAUUAAAGUUGUCUGGAUCUACGAGACUC